CACCGCGGUUAUACGAGAGGUUCAAGUUGACAAAAUCCGGCGUAAAGCGUGGUUAUGAAUACACCCUACUAAAGCCAAAUGCCCACAAAGCUGUUAUACGCACUCGAGGGCCAGAAACCCACCAACGAAAGUGGCUUUAUUCACCUGAACCCACGAAAGCUAUGAAA
rnacentral:rRNA from 1 species